ACAAUCGAUUCAACUAUCAGAAAUAAACAACCGAUGCUUCACAUGCAAUGAAGAUGAUGAUUUAUAACCCUCUCUAAUCAUGCUUCAGAAAAGACAAGCAAAUCAGCAUGCAAAGCACCCACAAUCCAAGGCAAAGACAGAAAACUAAAAUGAAAAGUUCAUUCAUACCUCACGCCGAGACCGAGAGAACCUAAUGAAGCAGUGGCUUUCAAACGUGCUGCAACAAAUGAAAGGGAAAAAACGAUCGACAGAGAAAAUCGGUAAAGGCAGACGAGGAGAAAUUAUGAGGACAGAAGAGGAGAGGGUCGGGUAGGGAGGGAGGGUAAAACAGAGAGUUGGGGAGGGAAG
rnacentral:lncRNA from 1 species